GCUAUCUACAGGCUUAACACAUGCAAGUCGAGGGGCAGCAUGGUCUUAGCUUGCUAAGGCCGAUGGCGACCGGCGCACGGGUGAGUAACACGUAUCCAACCUGCCGUCUACUCUUGGACAGCCUUCUGAAAGGAAGAUUAAUACAAGAUGGCAUCAUGAGUCCGCAUGUUCACAUGAUUAAAGGUAUUCCGGUAGACGAUGGGGAUGCGUUCCAUUAGAUAGUAGGCGGGGUAACGGCCCACCUAGUCUUCGAUGGAUAGGGGUUCUGAGAGGAAGGUCCCCCACAUUGGAACUGAGACACGGUCCAAACUCCUACGGGAGGCAGCAGUGAGGAAUAUCGGUCAAUGGGCGAGAGCCUGAACCAGCCAAGUAGCGUGAAGGAUGACUGCCCUAUGGGUUGUAAACUUCUUUUAUAAAGGAAUAAAGUCGGGUAUGGAUACCCGUUUGCAUGUACUUUAUGAAUAAGGAUCGGCUAACUCCGUGCCAGCAGCCGCGGUAAUACGGAGGAUCCGAGCGUUAUCCGGAUUUAUUGGGUUUAAAGGGAGCGUAGAUGGAUGUUUAAGUCAGUUGUGAAAGUUUGCGGCUCAACCGUAAAAUUGCAGUUGAUACUGGAUAUCUUGAGUGCAGUUGAGGCAGGCGGAAUUCGUGGUGUAGCGGUGAAAUGCUUAGAUAUCACGAAGAACUCCGAUUGCGAAGGCAGCCUGCUAAGCUGCAACUGACAUUGAGGCUCGAAAGUGUGGGUAUCAAACAGGAUUAGAUACCCUGGUAGUCCACACGGUAAACGAUGAAUACUCGCUGUUUGCGAUAUACUGCAAGCGGCCAAGCGAAAGCGUUAAGUAUUCCACCUGGGGAGUACGCCGGCAACGGUGAAACUCAAAGGAAUUGACGGGGGCCCGCACAAGCGGAGGAACAUGUGGUUUAAUUCGAUGAUACGCGAGGAACCUUACCCGGGCUUAAAUUGCAGAUGAAUUACGGUGAAAGCCGUAAGCCGCAAGGCAUCUGUGAAGGUGCUGCAUGGUUGUCGUCAGCUCGUGCCGUGAGGUGUCGGCUUAAGUGCCAUAACGAGCGCAACCCUUGUUGUCAGUUACUAACAGGUUCCGCUGAGGACUCUGACAAGACUGCCAUCGUAAGAUGUGAGGAAGGUGGGGAUGACGUCAAAUCAGCACGGCCCUUACGUCCGGGGCUACACACGUGUUACAAUGGGGGGUACAGAGGGCCGCUACCACGCGAGUGGAUGCCAAUCCCCAAAACCUCUCUCAGUUCGGACUGGAGUCUGCAACCCGACUCCACGAAGCUGGAUUCGCUAGUAACCGCGCAUCAGCCACGGCGCGGUGAAUACGUUCCCGGGCCUUGUACACACCGCCCGUCAAGCCAUGGGAGCCGGGGGUACCUGAAGUGCGUAACCGCGAGGAGCGCCCUAGGGUAAAACUGGUGACUG
rnacentral:rRNA from 1 species